rnacentral:lncRNA from 1 species
CCAUUCCAGACAACAUGUCCACUUUUGUACAUGAGUCCAUUGAGAAAGCACUAGGGUUGCUGGGGACUGUGGCUGACAGACAUCAAGAAAGCAUCAUUUUUUCCACCCAAUUAUUGAACACCUCCUCUUCGGAUACUGCCUUUUGUCAUACUCCAUCGCUAACUCUACUGAGUGCCCUUCAAAUCUGCAUCUUUAGAUAUUACAGUGCAGGAAGAACAACUCCGUGUACAUAUCUCACAGGCAAAUCAUGAUGCUUGGCAUUACGGAAGCUAUCUUGGUACCAUGAGGUUGAAAGCCACAAGCUGAGAACUGUGUCACAGGAAGCAAGCAGAAUCCUUCCCUCAUGAUCUCAUGAAGCCAC